GAUGAACGCUGGCGGCGUGCUUAACACAUGCAAGUCGAACGAUGAAGCCCAGCUUGCUGGGUGGAUUAGUGGCGAACGGGUGAGUAACACGUGAGUAGCCUGCCCUUAACUCUGGGAUAAGCCUGGGAAACUGGGUCUAAUACCGGAUAGGAGCGUCCACCGCAUGGUGGGUGUUGGAAAGAUUUAUCGGUUUUGGAUGGACUCGCGGCCUAUCAGCUUGUUGGUGAGGUAAUGGCUCACCAAGGCGACGACGGGUAGCCGGCCUGAGAGGGUGACCGGCCACACUGGGACUGAGACACGGCCCAGACUCCUACGGGAGGCAGCAGUGGGGAAUAUUGCACAAUGGGCGAAAGCCUGAUGCAGCGACGCCGCGCGAGGGAUGACGGCCUUCGGGUUGUAAACCUCUUUCAGUAGGGAAGAAGCGAAAGUGACGGUACCUGCAGAAGAGGCACCGGCUAACUACGUGCCAGCAGCCGCGGUAA
rnacentral:rRNA from 1 species